rnacentral:misc_RNA from 1 species
UCGAAACCCGCAACGAGCAGACCGCGAACACGUUCAUGCCGCACGGGGACCCGACGGCAGGCGCGCGCGCUCCCGUCGUCGCCCCGCACCCGCACGGCCCUCGCGCGAGCGACGCGCCGGACGGGGCCAACAACAAACCCACGGCGCGGAAGGCGCCAAGGAUCACAACCGUGGAGCGCCGCCCCCGUCACGCACCCGUCCGCGGUGUGCCGUGCGCGGGCCGUGCGUCUCCCGAGAUUGAAUACCGAAAGAAAAAAU